rnacentral:rRNA from 1 species
GAGUUUGAUCAUGGCUCAGAUUGAACGCUGGCGGCAGGCCUAACACAUGCAAGUCGAGCGGUAGCACAGAGAGCUUGCUCUCGGGUGACGAGCGGCGGACGGGUGAGUAAUGUCUGGGAAACUGCCUGAUGGAGGGGGAUAACUACUGGAAACGGUAGCUAAUACCGCAUAAUGUCGCAAGACCAAAGUGGGGGACCUUCGGGCCUCAUGCCAUCAGAUGUGCCCAGAUGGGAUUAGCUAGUAGGUGGGGUAACGGCUCACCUAGGCGACGAUCCCUAGCUGGUCUGAGAGGAUGACCAGCCACACUGGAACUGAGACACGGUCCAGACUCCUACGGGAGGCAGCAGUGGGGAAUAUUGCACAAUGGGCGCAAGCCUGAUGCAGCCAUGCCGCGUGUGUGAAGAAGGCCUUCGGGUUGUAAAGCACUUUCAGCGGGGAGGAAGGCGUUAAGGUUAAUAACCUUGUCGAUUGACGUUACCCGCAGAAGAAGCACCGGCUAACUCCGUGCCAGCAGCCGCGGUAAUACGGAGGGUGCAAGCGUUAAUCGGAAUUACUGGGCGUAAAGCGCACGCAGGCGGUCUGUCAAGUCGGAUGUGAAAUCCCCGGGCUCAACCUGGGAACUGCAUUCGAAACUGGCAGGCUAGAGUCUUGUAGAGGGGGGUAGAAUUCCAGGUGUAGCGGUGAAAUGCGUAGAGAUCUGGAGGAAUACCGGUGGCGAAGGCGGCCCCCUGGACAAAGACUGACGCUCAGGUGCGAAAGCGUGGGGAGCAAACAGGAUUAGAUACCCUGGUAGUCCACGCCGUAAACGAUGUCGAUUUGGAGGUUGUGCCCUUGAGGCGUGGCUUCCGGAGCUAACGCGUUAAAUCGACCGCCUGGGGAGUACGGCCGCAAGGUUAAAACUCAAAUGAAUUGACGGGGGCCCGCACAAGCGGUGGAGCAUGUGGUUUAAUUCGAUGCAACGCGAAGAACCUUACCUGGUCUUGACAUCCACAGAACUUACCAGAGAUGCUUUGGUGCCUUCGGGAACUGUGAGACAGGUGCUGCAUGGCUGUCGUCAGCUCGUGUUGUGAAAUGUUGGGUUAAGUCCCGCAACGAGCGCAACCCUUAUCCUUUGUUGCCAGCGGUCCGGCCGGGAACUCAAAGGAGACUGCCAGUGAUAAACUGGAGGAAGGUGGGGAUGACGUCAAGUCAUCAUGGCCCUUACGACCAGGGCUACACACGUGCUACAAUGGCAUAUACAAAGAGAAGCGACCUCGCGAGAGCAAGCGGACCUCAUAAAGUAUGUCGUAGUCCGGAUUGGAGUCUGCAACUCGACUCCAUGAAGUCGGAAUCGCUAGUAAUCGUAGAUCAGAAUGCUACGGUGAAUACGUUCCCGGGCCUUGUACACACCGCCCGUCACACCAUGGGAGUGGGUUGCAAAAGAAGUAGGUAGCUUAACCUUCGGGAGGGCGCUUACCACUUUGUGAUUCAUGACUGGGGUGAAGUCGUAACAGGGUAACCA